rnacentral:rRNA from 1 species
GAUGAACGCUGGCGGCGUGCCUAAUACAUGCAAGUCGAGCGAACAGACGAGGAGCUUGCUCCUUUGACGUUAGCGGCAGACGGGUGAGUCACACGUGGAUCACCCACCUGUCAGAGUGGGAUAAUUUCGGGAAACCGGAGCUUAUACCGGAGGAUCUCCUGCACCGCAUGGUUGAAUAGUGAAAGUCGGCUUUGCUGGCACUUAUAGAUGCAUCCGCGCCGCAUUGGCUGGUUGGUACGGUAACGGCUUAUCAAGGCAACGAUGCGUAGACGACCUGAGAGGGUGAUCGCCCACACUGGAACGUGGACGCGGUCCUGGCUCCUACGGGAGGCAGCAGUAUGGAACCUUCCGCAAUGGGGGAAAGCCUUACGGAGCGACGCGGCGCGAGUUAUGAAGGUGUUCGGUUCGGAAAACCCGGUUAUGAGUGAAAAACAAAUGUGGAAGUUACUAUGCACGGCUUGACGGUACCUAGUAAGAAAGCCACGGCUAACUACGUG